GGUGAACGCUGGCGGCGUGCUUAAGACAUGCAAGUCGAACGGCAGUCUUCGGACUGUAGUGGCGCACGGGUGAGUAACGCGUAACUGACCUACCCCAAAGUCGCGGAUAACGAUUCGAAAGAAUCGCUAAUACGUGAUGUGCUGUCAGAUUGUGUUCUGCCAGUAAAGAUUGAUUGCUCUGGGAUGGGGUUGCGUUCCAUCAGCUAGUUGGUGGGGUAAAGGCCCACCAAGGCGACGACGGAUAGCCGGCCUGGGAGGGUGGCCGGCCACAGGGGCACUGAGACACGGGUCCCACUCCUACGGGAGGCAGCAGUUAGGAAUCUUCCACAAUGGGCGAAAGCCUGAUGGAGCGACGCCGCGUGAGGGAUGAAGGUCUUCGGAUCGUAAACCUCUGAAUCAGGGACGAAAGACACUUCGGUGGGAUGACGGUACCUGAGUAAUAGCACCGGCUAACUCCGUGCCAGCAGCCGCGGUAACAC
rnacentral:rRNA from 1 species